UUGAAGCUCCAUUGUUAGAACUGUUCGAGAAAUGCAGGACUUGCGGUGCGGCGUGCAAAGUGGGCACAGAGGUUCGAGGGACACUUCUCACCGUAAAAGCUGAGUGCCCAAGUGAGCACACUUUAUCUUGGAAAAGCCAGCCAGAGGUGAACAGGAUGGCUGCAGGAAACAUCUUGCUGUCUGGCGCAAUACUUUUCAGUGGGGCUAGUGCAACCAAGGUUCUCCGGUUACUCGAGUCAAUUAAUGUUCAGGUGAUCUCGAAGGUAGCAUACAACACCUACCAGAGAGGGUGCCUACUCCCUGCCGUGACACAGGUCUCGACUACAGAAAGAGAAUGCCUGCUCUCGUCACUUCAAGACAGGAACGUGGACCUUUUGGGUGAUGGCAGGUGUGACUCCCCUGGGCACUCUGCUAAGUGCCUCACAUACAGCUUUAUGGAUGCAGCAUCACAGAAGAUCAUCAACUCUGUGCAAAUUCAG